rnacentral:rRNA from 1 species
GAGUUUGAUCGUGGCUCAGAACGAACGCUGGCGGCAUGCUUAACACAUGCAAGUCGAACGCUUCUGUUGACUUCGGUCUUCAGAGGAGUGGCGCACGGGUGAGUAGCGCGUGGGAACCUGCCCUCUUGGUGGGGGAUAACUGCGGGAAACGUGCAGCUAAUACCGCAUAAGCCCGGGGUAACGUCGGGAAGAUUAUCGCGAGAGGAGGGCCCGCGUCGGAUUAGCUAGUUGGUGGGGUAACGGCCUACCAAGGCGAUGAUCCGUAGCUGGUCUGAGAGGAUGAUCAGCCACACUGGGACUGAGACACGGCCCACGACUCCUACGGGAGGCAGCAGUGGGGAAUAUUGGACAAUGGGCGCAAGCCUGAUCCAGCAAUGCCGCGUGAGUGAGGAAGGCCUUAGGGUUGUAAAGCUCUUUCACCCACGACGAUGAUGACGGUAGUGGGAGAAGAAGCCCCGGCUAACUUCGUGCCAGCCGCCGCCGUAAC